CAGCAGGCCAGGCCUCCCUGUCCAUCACCGACUCCUGGAGUUCACUCAGACUCACGUCCAUCGAGUCAGUGAUACCAUCCAGCCAUCUCAUCCUCUGUCAUCCCCUUCUCCUCCUGCCCCCAAUCCCUCCCAGCAUCAGAGUCUUUUCCAAUGAGUCAACUCUUCGCAUGAGGUGGCCAAAGUACUGGAGUUUCAGCUUUAGCAUCAUUCCUUCCAAAGAACACCCAGGACUGAUCUCCUUUAGAAUGGACUGGUUGCUCACCACCAGUCAAAUGUCACCUUUUCUGUUCCCCUUGGACAAUUUCCCUUUCUGCCCCAGGCAGACUUCUUCCUUCCCAGGCCUGAGGGCACGUGGGACACCCCCUAAUGGCACUGAUCACAUUGCAAUGUUACCCUUGGGUCACAGGUUUCUGGACCUCUGGACUUUAGGUGUUUUUUUAAUUAAUCUUAUAGAGAAAUUUUUGGUUUGUCCAAAGAGACUCCAGACUUUUUAUUUUCUAAAUUGAAUUUUAAGGAGAAGUUUUAGGUUCCUACGAAAAGACUCCAGGCUUUCUUUUAAAACAGAGACUGUGUGAUUCAUCUGCCCCCAGCACCUAGCAUGGCCUCUGGCUCAUAGCCGGGGUUCAAAUGCAUGCUUGUUUGGUAAUAAGUGAGGCAAGACACACUGGGAAUGAUUUAAAAAAAUAACAAAGAGAUGUAUCUUUACACACAUCUUUGCUGUUGAAAAUGAAGUCCGUGAAAGUUUUCUGGGAAUUCAAAAGUAGUUCUUUUUCAUGGGCCCUCCUUGGUUGGUUUUCAAGUUUGCCCUGAAGCAUCUUCUGUCCAAAUAGCCUUUCGCUGGCAGCAGUUCUACCUUCAUCCAGAAGAUGGCGGGCGAGGCCAGCAAGCGAGCUUCGCAAUGCAGCCAGGCGCCAGGCCUAGGCAGGUGACCCUUUUUUAACAAAAGAUGCGGGCACCUGAAGCCUAUUUGCCAACCCCAUAAAUGCGCAUGGGCGACAAGAACUUCGGGAUAGGUUCUGGUGUUGAUCCCCGUGAAAAGGAGCCUUUUUGAAAGGGUGUUUCAGGGGGAGCAUGGCAGCAAGUGGUUAAAGGGCAGGUCCUCUAAAACUCUCCUUUGAAUGGGGAAAACACUGUGGAAAAUGAACUUCCUAUAAAGCAGGCACAGCCCUCAAAGUCUCCGUGACUCAGGACGACGUGCUUUUUUGCCUCUUGAAGCUUACUUGCUUUGGAAAUGGUUCCCGGCUCCCUGGCCACCUCCACAGCUGACCGGAAGCUUCUCUUGGGUCACAAUUCCUCCUCCUCACAGGUCUGCACACUCCCAACAGGUGUCUAAGUAGCAGCAUGCGAGAUCUUCAGCUGAAGCAUGUGGGAUUUAACUCCCUGACAAGGGAUUGAACCUGGGCCCCCUGCAUUGGGAACACGGAAUCUUAGCCAUUGGACUACGGGGGAAGUUCUAAUGGGUUUAUAUCAUCUACGUGCUCAGUUGCUUCAGUCGUGUCCGACUCUUUGCGACCCAUGGACUGUAGUGCACCAGGCUCCCCUGUCCAUGGGAUUCUCCAGGAGACACAGGAGACACGAGUUUGAUCCCCUAGAUCUAGAAGAUUCCCUGGAGUAGGAAAUGGCAACUGAUUCCAGUAUUCUUGCCUGGAAAAUUCCAUGGACAGAGGAGUCUUGCAGGCUACAGUCUCCAUGGGGUUGCAAAGAGUCAGACAUCACUGAGCAUGCUGGAUAUAUGCCCAGAAGUGGGAUUACUGGAUCAUAUGUAGACCAUUUACUUUUAAUGUUAUUAAUCAUAUGGUUUGGCUCUCUUGUUAUUUAUCUUUGCUCCAUUUGUUCUGUCUUCCUUUUCCUCCUCGUCUACCAUCUUUUAGAUUUAUUGCUUAUUUUUUAUUCUGUUUUCUUGGUUAGAUUAUAGUUAUAAUUUUUUUAUUUUGUGGUUUUAAGGUUUAUAGUGUAUAUAUAUGCCUAUUACAGUACACCUUCAAGUUAUAUUACACUGCUUUAUGGAUAGGAUAAAAACUUACCGCAUUUCCAUUUCCCUCCUCCUGACCUUUGUACUAUUCUCAUACAUUUUAAUUCUACGUGUGUUGUAAACCUCAUAACACAUUGUUGUUACUUUUGUUUUAAUUUUUAUUUAUGUUUUAGAGACUCUAAAUCUAAGAAAAUAAAAUUUUAAAUGUUUACUUA
ensembl:lncRNA